rnacentral:rRNA from 1 species
UACAGAGGUCUCAAGCGUUGUUCGGAUUCAUUGGGCGUAAAGGGUGCGUAGGUGGCGGGGUAAGUCAGGUGUGAAAUCUCCGGGCUCAACUCGGAGAGGCCACUCGAGACUGCUAUGACUAGAGUCCGGUAGGGGACCAUGGAAUUCCUGGUGUAGCGGUGAAAUGCGCAGAUAUCAGGAGGAACACCGGUGGCGAAGGCGGUGGUCUGGGCCGGCACUGACGCUGAGGAGCGAAAGCGUGGGGAGCGAACAGG